UACGUAGGGGGCUAGCGUUGUCCGGAUUUAUUGGGCGUAAAAGAGCGUGUAGGCGGCCAGGUAGGUCGGUUGUGAAAACUGGAGGCUCAACCUUCAGAGGUCGACCGAAACCAUCUGGCUAGAGUCCGGGAGAGGAGAGUGGAAUUCCUGGUGUAGCGGUGAAAUGGCGCAGAUAUCAGGAAGAACACCCGUGGCGAAAGCGGCUCUCUGGAACGGUACUGACGCUGAGACGCGAAAGCGUGGGGGAGCGAACAGG
rnacentral:rRNA from 1 species